UACGGAGGAUGCAAGCGUUAUCCGGAAUGAUUGGGCGUAAAGCGUCCGCAGGUGGCAAUGUAAGUCUGCUGUUAAAGAGUCUAGCUCAACUAGAUAAAAGCAGUGGAAACUACAUAGCUAGAGUACGUUCGGGGCAGAGGGAAUUCCUGGUGUAGCGGUGAAAUGCGUAGAGAUCAGGAAGAACACCGGUAGCGAAGGCGCUCUGCUAGGCCGUAACUGACACUGAGGGACGAAAGCUAGGGGAGCGAAUGGG
rnacentral:rRNA from 1 species